AGAAACUGAGGGUCUAUACAUCCAUUCUCCCAUACGCCUUCAAGGCUCCAGAAAAUAUUUCGAUGCUGUCUGCGUUCGAGGAAAAGCGUUUCCAGUAACACAGGCCAGCGGGUAGUUAGCUACUGCUGCUACCACUUCCAUAAAGUCUAAGAUUCAACGCCGAAGAUCACUCUCAGUAUGGUUCGAAGGAAGGGUAGAGUUCGCCCUGUCAGCAGUUGGCGGCACUUCUCUGAAAGUGGAAGCCCGAAUGAAAGGUUGGGCUGUACACCAUGGAGGAAGAAGACAGAAGGUGCUGAUAACAAAAUCGCGAGAAUUGGGUGUCAACUGACACGAGGAAUGGAAAGAAUAACAAGAAAAAGAGCUUCGUGGUUUAAUCUGUCUCUACUCAUUUGCACUCGGGCUACAGAGGGCUCAUUGUCUCAUCCUGUCAUCUGUAGACCACAGCGUAAGAAGACUACUUGACAACUUUGUGAUAACAUACGUUCAUUUAGCGUCUUAAAUGCUCUUUUUUGUAUUAGGUGCGUAUCGUGCAUGAUAGUGGUGAAUAUGCAUAGGCUUAGGAGUUCAUGGAGUCGAACUCGUUAUAGCGAUGGGCUACGGGCUGGACGGCUGGGGUUCGAAUCUCGUCAGGGUCAGACGGGCACUAGAGCCCAUACAGCCCCCUAUCCAAUGGGUACCGGGGGCCCCAUUGCCGGGACUAAAGCGGACGGGUCCUGGCCGCGCCAUAGCUCAAGCGGUUAAUCGCUGACUUCAACCCGGGCCGGGUUCGAUCCCGGGUCUCGUCAA